rnacentral:lncRNA from 1 species
CGCCCCUGCACACGCCGCCUGCGCCCUCCGCCGCCCGCAGGGAGCCCUCGGUGCACGCCCCGGCGCGGGAGCGGGAGCGGGAGCGGGAGCCGCAGCCGGAGCCGGAGCCGGAGCCGGAGAGCGCGCAGGGCCGCGGGCAGCGUCGACGCGCACAAGCCCCGCUCGCCCGCGAACAAACUUUUCCGCCUCCUCCCCUCGGCGCUGCGCGAAGCCCCGGCGCGGCGGGCCGGGGGGCGGGGCGGGGCCGGGGCGGGCCGGGGGGCGGGGCCGGGGCGGGGCAGGGGCGGGGCCGGGGUCGCCCCGCCCCCGGGGAGGCCGGGCUCGGAGCCCCGGCGGCCGCGCAGGGGGGAGCGGAGCCGAGCGCGGCCGCCCCGAGGGUCCCGUCCCCGCCCCCCGGGCCGCCGUCGCCGCCGCCGCCGCGUCCUGGGAAGCCGACAGCAGACGCAGCUAAGCGAGGAGGCGGCUCAAGAAAUAAAAACAAUUAAAGGUGAUCGGGGCCACAGCAGAUUGGAAACCCCAGAGUUCAUCAGUGAACACCCUGCUCCUCCAGGAUCAAGCACAUCUCCUCUCUGGUUAUUUGCCUUGCAUGGAGAACUGCAUGGACCCCUGAACUGGAAGAACUGGGCUGGUGAACAGAGGACAGAUCAGGAAGUAGGAGAGGGAAUGCUAUUUGAAGAAAUCUGUGUGGUGGACUGGUGAAGAUUACUGGCAUGAAUACAGAUAAUUCUACUACACCUGGAUUCGCACUUCCAGCCGUGACCCAGUUUGACUUCCUAAGUGACCCCACCCCCACACCCCGGCUCAGAACUGUCUCUCCUACUGGCUGGCACAGUAACUGAAGUUUUUUUUUUAUCAUUAAGCUCAUUCCUUUAGGAUAAACUUCAUUGUCCUUUUAAAAUGAGAGGGUAAAAAAUAAAUAAAUAAAAAUUAAAAAAAUAAAAUAAGAGGGUAUUAUCUGGGAAGGGUAACAAAUUAACAUAUGAAAUUUAUUUUCAAUAGGGGUGAUACUGUGAUAUGGGCAGCUGCCACUCACUUCCCCAGAAUGUCAUGUGACCCUUCGGAAGAAGCCACUCUGCUUCUGCUCUUGCUGCCUUUGCUCAUUGCAGUGAUAUUUUCCACCCCAAGUGCAGGGGGUGUAAAAAUAAAGGAAGCAGCCCCCCCUUAUCCAUUUCCUUUGGGGGAGAAUUAGUUACACAAAGCAUGUAAAGUCGGGAGAAAUGAUCAAAACUGAUCAUUGGUAGGGGGAAGGAGAGAGCAUGCAGGGGAGUUUUAGACCACAAAUAGCUCCUUCAAGAGGGCAAGUUGGAUUCUAGGGAGUGAAACCCCUAACAGCUGUGUGGUUAGCAUGAAAGUACCAGGUGCCUGGAAAAGGAGCCCUUCUGGGUUGGAGCGGGGGUGUUAGGGAGAGUGAGAUGCCAACACAGAGUAGACCUACUUCAUAGUUUUGAGCUUUCUUUCAGUAAAUAGUGUAUAAUAGAGCCAGGUGGAGGAAUGAGACAGGGGAUCUAAAUUGUUUAUGGGAGGAUAAGACUUGAAGAGUUUAAAGCAGGAGGUAGAGACAAGUGAGGAGAGACUGAGGGGAAAAGGUAUGAGCAACAGAGAGGGUCUUAAUAGCUUUUUUGAGGAAGCAGUGAUGUCAAUGGCACAGGUGUGGAUCCAACUUAGACACCCUGUUCUAGUGUGUAAGUGCAUAUUUUCUUUUUACACGGCUGGGUUAAAUUACUUCCUCUAGGUCAUCCAAUUAAUCACUUGGAGAGCAAGGAAUAGAAUUCAGCAUUCAAGGCUCUCAUUUCACAUCUGGAGCAGGGAAGCCAGGCUUCUCCUUCCUGCAACACCUCUUCAUUUAAAAAAAAAAAAAAAAAAAAGUCUUUUGCGAGUAAGGGAAGUUUUGAGCUCUUUUAUAGAUAAUUUGCGAAACCUUCUUUCUAUUUGUGUGAUUUCAAACUAGGGCACUGUUAGGAGGCAAAAACACUAUAAAUUGCUUUCUGGUUUAUCUUUCAUUCAAGAAUUUAAAGUAUCUAUCAAAAUUAUUUUGAAUUCCCCUCCCCUCUCCUAGCUUUCAAGCUAUUAUUCUGGGGAACAAAAAAAAAAAAAAAUGAGUUACAGAUCUGAGAAAGCAGUGUGUGUGGAGCUUAACUGCUCCAUGACUGAUUGUGUGAUAUAUUGCUCUUUUCACUAAUAACCACAAAGCAGGUAGAGGCAUGGCAGGCUAAUUGGGUUUAUAUGUCCAGCUGUAAGGCUAGACACUGCAUCAUUCUUUUCAGAAACCAGUGACUUUAGGCAUGUGGAACUCGUAGUCAUGACAACAAUAAACCCGCUUUGAGUCUGAGUUUCAGCUCAGAAACUCCCUUGUCUCCAUUACUUCCUGCUCAUGACCUGACUUUUCUUACUCUCUGGGGCUGGGGGCUGGGGAUUUAUGAAAGAUCUAUUGAACAGAGCUCCAGUAUAUGUUUAAUGCUUAAAAUGUCUGGGUUGAAAGUUUUGCUUGCACAGAUGGCUAAAGGCUGGAAGGAGGAUAGAUCAAUCAUUAUUAUAGCUAAUGACACGGUUAUAAGGGCAUACACAAAGGUGAGCUGACUUGGAAAAUGGGAAAAGGCAAUGUGAAAAUAGUGACUUGGAAGCCUUUCUUUGAAUAACAUAAAAAUAUCUAUCACAAAUAAAAUGUUCUUUUAAACACACAGGGGAAUUACACUAUGAUUCUACGAGUACGUAUCCAAAAAACACAAUGAGAAGUAGUGAGGCAAAAGUUAGUACACAAAGUUGAGCGUGUGUGUGUUGUGUGUGUGUGCAUGUGGCAUUUUAAGUCUAAAGACACAACAGAUGCUUAUGACAAAAUCCACGAGCGAUCAUGUUUUGUCCCAUAUGUUUAAUGGAUUUAAUGGUAACCACUUUAGGAGAUGGUAUAGCUCAGUGACAAAAGUCAACGGCCUCCACAAAAUGGAGCAAUAUUGGAAAGUUGUCUAACUAUACAAAGUCUCUGGCUAUUCAGCUGUAAAGAGAAAUGACAUGAUUUGCCCUGUUGGGUUGUUGAGAGAUGGAAUGAGAUCAUGGAGACAAGUGGAUCCUGGUGCCUGGGACAGGGUAAGCACUCAGUGCUGGUCACUGUCACUGUUGAUGCUGCUGGUGGUGUUGAUUUGUCCAGUAAUGGAGAUCUGUCCUUCAUGAGAUUAAAAUGAUUGAGACCUUCAUUGUUACAGAGACAUGAUCACAGAGAUUGGAAGACUUAAGACUUUUUUUUCUUUGGAAAGAUGUUUUGCUGGCUUUGCUAUUUUCUCUGUAUAAUCUGCAUUUUAAGGAGAAUAGAGAAUUAUUGGCUGGAGAAGGCAGGAAGUGCAGGGUGUGAAUUGCUAACAUAAAAGAUAUAUCUGGAGACUUUUGUGCCUUUUCACUGCACACCCAACCCCCCACAACAGGAAGUCAGAAGUUCCAGCAUCAUUUUUGUUUCCUAUUCCUCUAGCACAUUGACCUAGUUUUGUAGGAUUACCUUUUUUUAAGCUUCUAUUUUCCAGCAAGUCGCUACCUCAAGCCAAUAGGCAGAGAAAUAAGACAUAGAUCAAAUCUUAGAGAGCAGCCAAAUGCUUCCUUUCUUUUCUAUGUACUGAGAAAUGGAAUGAUUUGCUUUCCUCAGAGAUCAACUUCAUGAUUUCAUGAUCAUGUAGUUAAACUUCCUAGUAAACGAGAUGCUGCCCAGAGGCCAUGUUAUUCUCUGUGACCUUGUGGAGUGUGGAUCACCGUGUAGAAACCUGAGAAAGUACAUUCAUUUGUUAAGUUAUAAUUUGAGAAGCCAUGAACCACAAACUGAUUAUGUAUUUUUUUUCUUAUAGGAGUUUAGUGGUGUUGCAAAUAAUUUAAUUUCUCUUUACAUUGUCCCCUGACUGGCAGUUACAGUUUACAGCCAUGUAAAAUUAUUUUUUUGAGAUAACACAGAUCACAUUUUUGUCUUACAAAGUUUAUGAGAGAAAUAAAUUUUUGUAUGUCCCUCAUUAGCAUGAAAGUGUUAAUAUACCUCCAGAAAAAGAGAAAUGUCUUACUUUUCUCUAAUAAUUAUAUUAAUUUUUGGACAUUUUAUUUAUUUUUUAUUUCUUUAUUUUUAAGAUUUUAUUUAUUUAUUCAUGAGAGACACAGAGAGAGAGGCAGAGGGAGAAGCAGGCCCCAUGCAGGGAGCCCAAUGCAGGACUCGAUCCCGGGACCCCAGGAUCACGCCCUGAGCCAAAGGCUCAACCACUGAACCACCCUGGUAUCUCUAAUUUUUGUACAUUUUAAAUUGAUUUAAACAAUGAGCUGAUUAAUAUGAGAGAAAUUUAAACAUUAGCAAGUAAGACAUUUGGAAGUAUAAAAUAAAUAUACAUUAUAUAAUUACUGUAUUGCAGAAAAGAUGUGAUUGAGUGAAUAACUGUUCUGGAUAUUAUAAGCAUUAAUGAAAAGUAUCAUUACAAGCUUACAAAGGACUAUUACAAUAACGGUACUAUAAAAACAAUAUUUUUCAUCCAAAAUGGGUUUGCGAUGAUAGUUUUUCACCAUCUUUUAAUUAGAUUCAGAUAAAAAUGUAGCCAAACUUUGAAGAGUUUUCCCCUUGUUUCACAAGACCUCAUAAUUUCAUAAAUAUUGGUCCUAAAGUUUCCAAGCUUUAGAGGGGAUUUUGGAAAGCACAAGUCAUUUCUUUUUACAAAGUUAGAAUGUUUAGUCUAUGCA